rnacentral:rRNA from 1 species
AAUACCGCAUAACAAUAAAAGCCACAUGGCUUUUGUUUGAAAGAUGGCUUUGGCUAUCACUCUGGGAUGGACCUGCGGUGCAUUAGCUAGUUGGUAAGGUAACGGCUUACCAAGGCGAUGAUGCAUAGCCGAGUUGAGAGACUGAUCGGCCACAAUGGAACUGAGACACGGUCCAUACUCCUACGGGAGGCAGCAGUAGGGAAUCUUCCACAAUGGGCGCAAGCCUGAUGGAGCAACACCGCGUGAGUGAAGAAGGGUUUCGGCUCGUAAAGCUCUGUUGUUGGAGAAGAACGUGCGUGAGAGUAACUGUUCAUGCAGUGACGGUAUCCAACCAGAAAGUCACGGCUAACUACGUGCCAGCAGCCGCGGUAAUACGUAGGUGGCAAGCGUUAUCCGGAUUUAUUGGGCGUAAAGCGAGCGCAGGCGGUUGCUUAGGUCUGAUGUGAAAGCCUUCGGCUUAACCGAAGAAGUGCAUCGGAAACCGGGCGACUUGAGUGCAGAAGAGGACAGUGGAACUCCAUGUGUAGCGGUGGAAUGCGUAGAUAUAUGGAAGAACACCAGUGGCGAAGGCGGCUGUCUGGUCUGCAACUGACGCUGAGGCUCGAAAGCAUGGGUAGCGAACAGGAUUAGAUACCCUGGUAGUCCAUGCCGUAAACGAUGAGUGCUAGGUGUUGGAGGGUUUCCGCCCUUCAGUGCCGGAGC